rnacentral:lncRNA from 1 species
CCAAAUUCAUGUAUUGAACCGAGUUUUUGUUGUAGGAAUGGGGGCCUUAACCUCCUCAUGUCCUCCGAGUGUUGGGGGAUGACGGUUUUGUGGAACUCUCGCUUGUGUUCUUCGCGUUCUUGUUUUCUCCCAUUUUUCCCUUCUCACGUUUUUGUUCGAUUCAUGAUUUCUGGGGAGUAUUGACUCAAACUGAUCAUUUGGAAAUGAACUAGGAUGUGAGUGCAGUCUUUCUACCAAAGGAAUU